rnacentral:rRNA from 1 species
UACGGAGGAUCCAAGCGUUAUCCGGAUUUAUUGGGUUUAAAGGGUGCGUAGGCGGUUUUAUAAGUUAGAGGUGAAAAUUCGGGGCUCAACUCCGGACGUGCCUCUAAUACUGUAUGACUAGAGAAUAGAUGCGGUAGGCGGAAUGUAUGGUGUAGCGGUGAAACGCGUAGAGAUCAUACAGAACACCGAUUGCGAAGGCAGCUUACCAAACUAUAUCUGACGUUGAGGCACGAAAGCGUGGGGAGCAAACAGG